CUUGAAAGUGCAGACUAGAAUCUGUCCUGAUGAUGGUCCAAAAUCACAACCUUGAAACUUAGCAGUGGGGUUGAUUUGACCCAGCGCAGAGUAGGCCUACACAGUUGAGGUGCAGGAUAAACAACUUUAAUUUUUUACCUCGACACAAAAAAUUUUUCAGCAAUGUACAAUAUUGUGAGAGUUGCUUGAGCAGUUUAUGCAAUGGUUAAAAACUUUAUUUUUAAUUUUCUGAAAAAGCAGAUUAUGUGUUUUUAGUUGAAAUAAGUCAUUCCUCACUCGUCUUCCUUUAUUACAUCAUGUUAUUUGCUUAGGUUUUUAUAGGCUUUAUGGAGUAAAAUCUUAACAUAAGUCUUAUAUUUAAGACAAAAAUGUCAGAUUUUGAUUAAAGAGCACCUAUUAUGGGAUACACGUUUUUAAACAUCCUUUUGUGUGUAAGUGUGCAUAAGUACAUGCUAACGAUAUUCAAAAAGUACGUACCUCAAAGAAAACGAUGACGCGAGUUAUCGUCUCUAACGUUCGAGGACUACAAAAAACACUCGGAUUGUAGGCAACAGUUUACUUCCUGGGAUUAGUGACGUAGAUAAGACCAACAUUGUCAUAGUUCAGCCCUCUCUGCUUUGCUUGGGUACGCCCUCAAAGACGGGGGUGGGGAGCGCCGAGUCAGAAGAGAGCUAAAAUGGCGGAGGUUGUGAGUCCCUGCCUUGACUCUGUUUGCAAACUCUUGUUUCAUUGUUUAAGCGAUUAAAUCUCUCGAGUAGACGCUGUCUCUUUAGAUGCGAGGGAAAAAUAGCACUUUAUGGACUUCCACAGAGGACAUCAUGUUUAAUACGGUUCUGGAAAAAUCCAGUCAGAAGUUGUUCACGGAGUUUUCACAAUAACUGCUUCUCAUGAACCGAAGCUGGAUUUGCGCGACGUCUCCUCUUGAAAGUUGGAUUACUGUGCACUUUUGGAUCACAGGCUAUUCGCAGCUGGACACAUUCUACACUGUAUGCAAACAUGCAACAUCAUUACACACAGUACAAGGAGUCAGACUGGCAUAUGAGGAGCAAAGGAACCCAGGCAGUAGCAUCGUUUCACAAUGUUUCCAUCACCAUCAUCAGUGGAUGCCUUUGCUGUCCGUAGCCUGAGAUUUCAGAUUUGCAGCAAAAAAAAAUUGAUUUUCUCAUUUAUUGGAAUGCUGUGCAGGUAUUUGUACCUUGUAGCCAUCCAUUACAAUGUCACCAAGCUGUAACAAAAGCAGGAGAGGGAAAGUACAAGGCUAUGUUCCCAAAACACACAAGUGACAUACCUUAUGUGGAUGAUGUGAUCAGGCUUGUGUUUGAUGAGGUAUUUGAAGAUAAGCUGAAGGAAGCCCUGAUUCCAAUGGACCUGGCAUCACAGUUUGAGAGACCUUCAAAGGAGGACGUGAUUGCAUGCCAUCUUCAGUGCAG